rnacentral:rRNA from 1 species
CAGUAGCCGCGGUAAUACGUAGGGUGCGAGCGUUAAUCGGAAUUACUGGGCGUAAAGCGUGCGCAGGCGGUUAUAUAAGACAGAUGUGAAAUCCCCGGGCUCAACCUGGGACCUGCAUUGUGACUGUAUAGCUAGAGUACGGUAGAGGGGGAUGGAAUUCCGCGUGUAGCAGUGAAAUGCGUAGAUAUGCGGAGGAACACCGAUGGCGAAGGCAAUCCCCUGGACCUGUACUGACGCUCAUGCACGAAAGCGUGGGGAGCAAACAGGAUUAGAUACCCCGGUAGUCCCUGUCUCUUAUACA